GUCUUGGUGAACCAAUUCGAGGUGUCGUUGAGUUCUACAGGAUCUCCUCCACAGUGAUGUCCUAGCCAUCCAUAAGGAGAGGAUGUCGACGCUGUGAAGUGGUAGGCGAGGAUACCGCACGUGUUCUGCAAGAUGCUUAUCUUCUUCGACGCCCUCGACACAGGUGCACGAUUCCUCUUCUCCGGUGGCGACACGGUCAAUAGCGACACCCUUGACUUCAGCCUUCAUGACUUCUUCACUUGCCAGCCAGGCUGGCCGUCGUUUAUGAGGAAGAGCUGCUAAAGGCUGAUUGACAAGGGCAAGGUGGCGCGACGGUGAUGAUCUAGAGCAUCUUUCGCAGUUAUCUCGGCCUGUUAUUUAUGAUGACAGUUUAUUCACUAUUCAUUCAGAGAAGACAUGUUGUUGGUUGGGGUGACACAACAACAUGUGCUGCAGCUCGGUUAGUUGGC